rnacentral:rRNA from 1 species
AGUGAACGCAGGCGGCGUGCUUAACACAUGCAAGUCGAACGAGAACGGAUUAUAGCUUGCUAUAAUUGUCAGCUAAGUGGCGCACGGGUGAGUAAUGUAUAGGUAAUAUGCCUCUUACUAAGGGAUAACAAUUGGAAACGAUUGCUAAUACCUUAUACUCCUUAUUAACCUAAGUUAAUAAGGGAAAGAUUUAUUGGUAAGAGAUUAGCCUGCAUUGUAUCAGUUAGUUGGUGGGGUAAUGGCUUACCAAGACUAUGACACAUAACUGGUUUGAGAGGAUGAUCAGUCACACUGGAACUGAGACACGGUCCAGACUCCUACGGGAGGCAGCAGUGGGGAAUAUUGCACAAUGGACGAAAGUCUGAUGCAGCAACGCCGCGUGGAGGAUGACACAUUUCGGUGCGUAAACUCCUUUUAUAUGAGAAGAUAAUGACGGUAUUAUAUGAAUAAGCACCGGCUAACUCCGUGCCAGCCGCCGCCGUAA